UCAAAUUAUUUCAUUUUCCUGAGGCUUCAAUGUAGGCACCGAAACCUACCUGCCUGUCUGGCCUUAAGGGGACCUACGCCUGCCUUGCGUCUCAACCGCGAGAGUGGCAGGUUUCAGGCAGGCGCCAGGCCCUGAAACUGUGCUUACCAUCGAAAUCCUAACAAAAAAACCUGUUUUAACCUAAAACGAAAACAUUGAAUAUUUUGAACAUACCUGAACCAUGCU
ensembl:ncRNA F40F8.14 ncRNA